AGCAGCCGCGGUAAUUCCAGCUCCAAUAGCGUAUAUUAAAGUUGUUGCAGUUAAAAAGCUCGUAGUUGAAUUUCGGGAUCAGUAUGUUGGUCGUGCUUCGGUACGUACUGUCAUUACUGGUUUCUACCUUCUGAAGAACCUUGAUGUCAUUAAUUUGGUGUCUUGGGGAAUCAGGACUGUUACUUUGAAAAAUUUAGAGUGUUUAAAGCAAGCAUACGCUUGAAUACAUUAGCAUGGAAUAAUGAAAUAGGACGUUUGAUUCUAUUUUGUUGGUUUCUAGGAUCGACGUAAUGAUUAAUAGGGAUAGUUGGGGGCAUUAGUAUUCAAUUGUCAGAGGUGAAAUUCUUGGAUUUAUUGAAGACUAACUACUGCGAAAGCAUUUGCCAAGGAUGUUUUCAUUAAUCAAGAACGAAAGUUAGGGGAUCGAAGACGAUCAGAUACCGUCGUAGUCUUAACCAUAAACUAUGCCGACUAGGGAUCGGAUGAUGUUAUUUUAAUGACUCAUUCG
rnacentral:rRNA from 1 species